AGUGAACGCUGGCGGUAGGCCUAACACAUGCAAGUCGAACGGCAGCACAGUAAGAGCUUGCUCUUACGGGUGGCGAGUGGCGGACGGGUGAGGAAUACAUCGGAAUCUACUUUUUCGUGGGGGAUAACGUAGGGAAACUUACGCUAAUACCGCAUACGACCUACGGGUGAAAGCAGGGGAUCUUCGGACCUUGCGCGAUUGAAUGAGCCGAUGUCGGAUUAGCUAGUUGGCGGGGUAAAGGCCCACCAAGGCGACGAUCCGUAGCUGGUCUGAGAGGAUGAUCAGCCACACUGGAACUGAGACACGGUCCAGAGUCCUACGGGAGGCAGCAGUGGGGAAUAUUGGACAAUGGGCGCAAGACUGAUCCAGCCAUACCGCGUGGGUGAAGAAGGCCUUCGGGUUGUAAAGCCGUUUUGUUGGGAAAGAAAAGCAGCAGGUUAAUACCCCGCUGUUCUGACGGUACCCAAAGAAUAAGCACCGGCUAACUUCGUG
rnacentral:rRNA from 1 species